CCUACGGGAGGCAGCAGUGAGGAAUAUUGGUCAAUUGCCGGAAGGCUGAACCAGCCAAGUAGCGUGCGGGAUGACUGCCCUAUGGGUUGUAAACCUCUUUUAUGCGGGAAUAAUCUGUGCUACGUGUGGCUUGUUGCCUGUACCUCAUGAAUAAGCACCGGCUAAUUCCGUGCCAGCAGCCGCGGUAAUACGGAGGGUGCGGGCGUUAUCCGGCUUUAUUGGGUUUAAAGGGUGCGUGGGCGGUCUCUUAAGUUUGUGGUUAAAGGCGGGGGCUUAACCUUGGCGUGGCGUUAAAACUGUGGGGCUCGAGUGCGCACGAGGUAGGCGGAAUACGUGAUGUAGCGGUGAAAUGCUUAGAUAUCACGUAGAACUCCGAUAGCGAAGGCAGCUUACCGGAGCGCUACUGACGCUGAAGCACGAAGGCGUGGGUAUCGAACAGGAUUAGAUACCCGGGUAGUC
rnacentral:rRNA from 1 species